GCCGUAGCCCAAUGAUCUGGGAGAGCAUGAGACUUUUAAUCUCAGGCUUGUGGGUUCAAGCCCCACGUUGGGCU